GUCCAGAAAAUGAAUUUUAGUUCAGCUUUAAAGAUACCAAAAAUAUAAAUAAAUUUUACUGUAUUUUUAAAAGUUAGUCUAAAAAGGUUCAGCCUUUUAGAAAUGGAUACAACCUUCACUAGAGAGUAAGACUUUACAACACCAUAGUAGGCCUAAAAGCAGCCAUCAAUUAAGAAAGCGUUAAAGCUCAACAAUAAAAACAAAAUUAAUCCCAACAAUAGUACAACUAACUCCUAGACCUAAUACUGGACCACUCUAUUAUUAAAUAGAAGCAAUAAUGUUAAUAUGAGUAACAAGAAAUAUUUUCUCCCUGCACAAGUUUAAGUCAGUAUCUGAUAAUAUUCUGACUGUUAACAGUAAAUAAAAACAACCUAACGAUAAAUAAUUUAUUAAUUAUACUGUUAACCCAACACAGGAGUGCACCCAGGAAAGAUUAAAAGAAGUAAAAGGAACUCGGCAAACACAAACCCCGCCUGUUUACCAAAAACAUCACCUCCAGCAUUUCCAGUAUUGGAGGCACUGCCUGCCCAGUGACUAAACGUUAAACGGCCGCGGUAUUCUGACCGUGCAAAGGUAGCAUAAUCAUUUGUUCUCUAAAUAAGGACUUGUAUGAACGGCCACACGAGGGUUUUACUGUCUCUUACUUCCAAUCAGUGAAAUUGACCUCCCCGUGAAGAGGCGGGAAUGAAUUAACAAGACGAGAAGACCCUAUGGAGCUUUAACUAACUAGUCCAAAAGAAAUAAAUUUAACCACCAAGGGAUAACAACAUCCUUUAUGGACUAGCAGUUUUGGUUGGGGUGACCUCGGAGAACAAGAGAUCCUCCGAGCGAUUUUAAAGACUAGACUUACAAGUCAAAUCAAAUUAUCGCUUAUUGAUCCAAAAAACUUGAUCAACGGAACAAGUUACCCUAGGGAUAACAGCGCAAUCCUAUUCAAGAGUCCAUAUCGACAAUAGGGUUUACGACCUCGAUGUUGGAUCAGGACAUCCUGAUGGUGCAACCGCUAUCAAAGGUUCGUUUGUUCAACGAUUAAAG
rnacentral:rRNA from 1 species